UCUCAGCAGUGGUGGCGCUGUGAGGACUUUGCCUCCCCCUGGUGGACAUCUCAUCUCCUGCACCAAAGACCUGCUUGGCGAGCGCAGAAGUGCAUCUUACAGUAGGCCUACAGCCUAUGUGAAUGCAGAUCUUCUGAUGAAGCUCCAAAGUGUUCAACUUUGCAGAUUUGAAAAACACAAUGUUGUACUUGUCUUGUUCUUGGUUUAUGCAGCACUCUUUCCUACCACCAGGUUGGCAUGUCUCCAUCUGCCGUGGGGUUAGCUGUCCUACAGAGGAAAAUGGACAACUCUCAGAGCUCCAACUCACAGAGCUCCAAACAAAAAUUGCGGUUCCUUUUACACUCGGAUGCCAGAGGAAGGCUGGACCAAUCUGAAGAGACCUGCGCAGAUCCACUGAUGCAAGACCCCGGACUGAUGACUGGGACCAGCGCCGAAGGAUCCCUCAUUCCUGUUGGAUUAUUCUGUUUAAAUAAACAGCCUAAAUCAUAGUUCA